AUUGAACGCUGGCGGCAGGCCUAACACAUGCAAGUCGAACGGUAACAGGAAGAAGCUUGCUUCUUUGCUGACGAGUGGCGGACGGGUGAGUAAUGUCUGGGAAACUGCCUGAUGGAGGGGGAUAACUACUGGAAACGGUAGCUAAUACCGCAUAACGUCGCAAGACCAAAAAGGGGGACCUUCGGGCCUCUUGCCAUCGGAUGUGCCCAGAUGGGAUUAGCUAGUAGGUGGGUAACGGCUCACCUAGGCGACGAUCCCUAGCUGGUCUGAGAGGAUGACCAGCCACACUGGAACUGAGACACGGUCCAGACUCCUACGGGAGCAGCAGUGGGAAUAUUGCACAAUGGGGCGCAAGCCUGAUGCAGCCAUGCCGCGUGUAU
rnacentral:rRNA from 1 species